GCGCAGGCUGACCUGACGCCCAAGGUACAGGUGUACUCCCGCUUCCCCGCUUCUGCGGGCACCAAGAACAUCCUCAACUGCUUCGCGGCCGGCUUCCACCCGCCCAAGAUCUCCAUCACGCUGAUGAAGGACGGCGUGCCCAUGGAGGGCGCGCAGUACUCCGACAUGUCCUUCAACGACGACUGGAGCUUCCAGCGCCUGGUGUACGCCGACUUCACGCCCAGCAGCGACGCCACCUACACGUGCAGGGUGGAGCACGAGACCCUGAAGGAGCCGCAGGUCUACAAGUGGGAUCCCGAGUUCUGAGCUGUGCCCGGGAUGAACACGGUCUGAAGAAUUCUGCAUUUCAAGUGGAAAUGAGCUUGGGCUUCUUUCCUUUCUUUGCAUCGCACUUCUGGGUAGGAUGGCAAAGAGCAAGCAUCUUCAUCAUGAAAUUCCUUUUUUUAGGAUGCUCUCUCCUAGGGUUAGCAGCAGUGCUCUGAAAUCUGUGUUCCUGGAAAAGCAUGUGGGGGGGAGGGAAGGGGAGGGAAUGGGGGGUGCUGCCUUGCAGCCUUUAGGCAUGCAGCAGAUGUUUUGCAAAUAUGGAGAUGCCAUUGAAGAUACCCUGACCUGUUGCUUAGGAUGAAGGAAGAUGCAAAGCGAGCUGAUUGGGAUUGGAAUUGUGAAAAUUUAUAAUGCAAAUUCAUGCCUUUGAAACUUGUGCAAAAUCAUAACUCUGAAACUUGUGCAUUCCCCAGGAAAGGAACGUAAUUAAUAGCAAUAAAUCAGUAAAGCCUACUCUAACA
rnacentral:lncRNA from 1 species